UACGGGGGGGGGCAAGCGUUGUUCGGAAUUACUGGGCGUAAAGGGCUCGUAGGUGGCCAACUAAGCCAGACGUGAAAUCCCCAGGCUCAACUUGGGAACUGCGUCUGAUACUGGAUGGCUUGAAUUCGGGAGAGGGAUGCAGAAUUCCAGGUGUAGCGGUGAAAUGCGUAGAUAUCUGGAGGAAUACCGGUGGCGAAGGCGGCAUCCGGGACCGAGAUUGACACUGAUGAGCGAAAGCUAGGGGAGCAAACGGG
rnacentral:rRNA from 1 species